rnacentral:rRNA from 1 species
AGAGUUUGAUCAUGGCUCAGGAUGGACGCUAGCUACAGGCUUAACACAUGCAAGUCGAGGGGAAACGACAUCGAAAGCUUGCUUUUGAUGGGCGUCGACCGGCGCACGGGUGAGUAACGCGUAUCCAACCUGCCCACCACUUGGGGAUAACCUUGCGAAAGUAAGACUAAUACCCAAUGACGUCUCUAGAAGACAUCUGAAAGAGAUUAAAGAUUUAUCGGUGAUGGAUGGGGAUGCGUCUGAUUAGCUUGGUUGGCGGGGUAACGGCCCGACCAAGGCUACGAUCAGUAGGGGUUCUGAGAGGAAGGUCCCCACAUUGGAACUGAGACACGGUCCAAACUCCUACGGGAGGCA